UCUGCAGUCAGGAGUUAGCUCAGCUCUGAUAGUGAAAGUAUUCCAGCAGAAGGAAGGAAAGAAAGGGAGAAAGAAGACCAGCACCGGCUGCAGAAUCACAGCGAGGUACCCAGCUCCAAAACCCAAUCCCAGGACACACAGGCAGAAGAUGCCACUGGUGGGCCUGGGCACCUGGAAAAGUGCACCUGGGUAUGUGAGAAUCAGUGCUAGAUGACAAAAUGGUCUUAUUAUUACCAUUAUAAAGCAAUUAUUCUUUUCUUUAAUGAAUCCGGUUCCAUCACUAAAUAUUUAUUUUACAGAAGGCUUGUUGAAAGUUAAUUUGAGGCUGCUGUACCCUUGUCAUUUCUUCUAGUAAAUCAGUGAAAGAGCACAUACUGUAUUAGAGGUCAAAUGGCUCACGACUCAGACUCUGGUAACUGAUCAACCCAUUAAGAAUCCAACAAGCCCUCAAAGUUCAGCAGCACAUUCAGCCAGCACAAGGAACUUUGGAAACAUGUUUGGUGGUGCAGUAUUUAAACUGUCAGCUUUUUUUCUUCUCAGACCACCACUUGACUUGUAUAAUUUGCUCUCUCCUUACUCAGGUCAAACAGGCUGUGCUGAGAGCCCUGGACUCUGGAUGCAGACACAUUGACUGCUGCUGCCUAUGGCAAUGAACAGGAAGUAGGGGAAGCCUUGAGGGAGAGAGUGGGGCCUGGCAAGCCUAUCAAACGCUAGCAUGUGUUUGUUACAUCGAAGCUGUGGAACACCAAGCACCACCCGGAUGAUGUGGAGCCAGUCUACAGGAAGUCCUUGGCUGACCACGGCCUCUCAUUCCUGUACCUGUACCUCAUGCACUGGCCCAUGGCCUUCGAAACGACGGCCUGACAAUCUGGAGAGAUGGUGGGCACCCACACUUCCCUUUUCAUGACCUCUACUAACCGAGGCUGUAAUGCCAGCCCAGCCUCCAACAGCUCAAGGGAGCGUGGUCCCUUCCUACAACAGGAUGUCCUGCCAAGCAUUUGCAGCAUUUUUGUUAAUUACUAAUUAAUAUAGGAUAUGAAAAUGUAAUUUUAAUUGUUAAAUACCUUACUUAUAUAUCGCCUUGCACAACAGGGAAUAUUAUUGUGUUGAUAUGAGCAAUCCUUUUCUUCAAAUUCUGGAAUU